AAAGGUAAGCUACUAAGAGCGAAUGGUGGAUGCCUUGACUGGUAAAGGCGAUGAAGGACGUACUAGACUGCGAUAAGCUACGGGGAGCUGUCAAGAAGCUUUGAUCCGUAGAUUUCCG
rnacentral:rRNA from 1 species